rnacentral:rRNA from 1 species
GACGAACGCUGGCGGCGUGCUUAACACAUGCAAGUCGAACGGAAAGGCCCUGCUUUUGUGGGGUGCUCGAGUGGCGAACGGGUGAGUAACACGUGAGUAACCUGCCCUUGACUUUGGGAUAACUUCAGGAAACUUGGGCUAAUACCGGAUAGGAGCUCCUGCUGCAUGGUGGGGGUUGGAAAGUUUCGGCGGUUGGGGAUGGACUCGCGGCUUAUCAGCUUGUUGGUGGGGUAGUGGCUUACCAAGGCUUUGACGGGUAGCCGGCCUGAGAGGGUGACCGGCCACAUUGGGACUGAGAUACGGCGCAGACGCCUACGGGAGGCAGCAGUGGGGAAUAUUGCACAAUGGGCGGAAGCCUGAUGCAGCAACGCCGCGUGCGGGAUGACGGCCUUCGGGUUGUAAACCGCUUUCGCCUGUGACGAAGCGUGAGUGACGGUAAUGGGUAAAGAAGCACCGGCUAACUACGUG